AACGCACCUUGCGCUCCCUGGUAUUCCGGGGAGCAUGUCUGUUUGAGUGUCAUGAACUCUUCAACCCACCGGUUUCUAGUGAACUGGCUGGUGUUUGGAUUCUGAGUGUUGCUGGCUUGCAAAAGCGAAGCUCACUCGUAAUUGAUUAGCAUCUCAUAUUCGAAAAUCGGAUUGACUCAGUGUAAUAGACUAUUCGCUGAGGACGCUUCCCUUGGGAAGUGGCCGAGUUUUGUAAAGUAGAAGCUUCUAACCUACUAGUCAACUUUAGAUUAGACCUCAGAUCAGGCAGGAUUACCCGCUGAACUUAA
rnacentral:misc_RNA from 1 species